rnacentral:rRNA from 1 species
AGAGUUUGAUCCUGGCUCAGAUUGAACGCUGGCGGCAUGCCUUACACAUGCAAGUCGAACGGCAGCACGGGAGCAAUCCUGGUGGCGAGUGGCGAACGGGUGAGUAAUAUAUCGGAACGUGCCCAGUCGUGGGGGAUAACGCAGCGAAAGCUGUGCUAAUACCGCAUACGAUCUAUGGAUGAAAGCGGGGGAUCGCAAGACCUCGCGCGAUUGGAGCGGCCGAUAUCAGAUUAGCUAGUUGGUGGGGUAAAGGCCCACCAAGGCGACGAUCUGUAGCUGGUCUGAGAGGACGACCAGCCACACUGGAACUGAGACACGGUCCAGACUCCUACGGGAGGCAGCAGUGGGGAAUUUUGGACAAUGGGCGCAAGCCUGAUCCAGCAAUGCCGCGUG